GCGGGAAUUAGAUUAGAGUUUGAUCAUGGCUCAGAACGAACGCUGGGGGGAUGCGUAACACAUGCAAGUCGAAUGAACCCUUCGGGGUUAGUGGCGCACGGGUGCGUAACGCGUGGGAAUCUGCCCUUGGCUUCGGAAUAACAGUUAGAAAUGACUGCUAAUACCGGAUGAUGUCUUCGGACCAAAGAUUUAUCGGCCAGGGAUGAGCCCGCGUAGGAUUAGGUAGUUGGUGGGGUAAAGGCCUACCAAGCCGACGAUCCUUAGGUGGUCUGAGAGGAUGAUCAGCCACACUGGGACUGAGACACGGCCCAGACUCCUACGGGAGGCAGCAGUGGGGAAUAUUGGACAAUGGGCGCAAGCCUGAUCCAGCAAUGCCGCGUGAGUGAUGAAGGCCUUAGGGUCGUAAAGCUCUUUUACCCGGGAUGAUAAUGACAGUCCCGGGAGAAUAAGCUCCGGCUAACUCCGUGCCAGCAGCCGCGGUAAUACGAAUCACUAGUGAAUUCGCGGCCGCCUGCAGGUCGGCCAUAUGGGAGCGCUCCC
rnacentral:rRNA from 1 species